UACAUAGAAAGGAAAGAUCUAAGGAAUUAAUUCAUUAAACUACCAGAGCAACCAGUGGAAACUGAACAGGACUUCUGCACAGCUGCCAUCAGGGCAGCAGCAACGCACCACGAUCCCGGGGCGCACUUCAGUCCACGCAGCUGAACUAGUGUGUGCCUGACACUGACCGUGCCCCGGCUGAUGGGAAGCAGCUGAAUCCUGCUGACCCUUCAGCCCACGACUGCUCCACUGACACAGCCCGCCGAGCAGUAACAGUGGUUCCUUUAGCACAGGCUGGCUGCCUGCAGACUGUGAAACCAAACUGGGCUCCCAGAGCGUGCAUCAGACAGCCACAGCUGUCGCGCUGAGCUAGCUGCACCCCUCUAUGUAACUACAAGGAACUGCUGGACUUUUCCCCGAUCUCUUAAAUGAUUUUCUUGCUACAGUUAAGAGAUGAAGGCAGAGAAAAAGAACAAAUUCCACUUUUCACAGCUGACCAUUCAGAUUGCUGCGCUCUCUGUACCGGCGAGGGGAUGCGCUGGCAGUGAGCACAACGCACGGCGGAGCUCAGGAGGCGACAUCCUUAACCGGGGCACGCUGCACAGCGCCGACAGAGGGAAGGGGAGGGAAAGCCAGCGACCCAGCGAUGCCCACCGCCGGGCCACCCAGGUGCGGGCUGAUGGAGCGCUGGGCCUAGCAGCCCCUCCCGGCACCUGUGCUGGGACGCCCUAUAAAAGGCAACCAGGGAAAGCCAGCCCCUUCCAUGCCCUCACGGCGCGUGGUGCUUCCUCCUCUCGCUGAGCCAGGCAUAGAUGGAUGUGUAAAUCAUCCCUACUCUGACCUAAUGAAGAAGCAAUUGCUUUCUUUUUUUUUUUUCCCCUAUACUGGCAGAAGAUACAGAUGAAGCAGGUGCCCCAAGCUGCAAGCCUGAGCACAAGUGAAUAUGGUGUCUGUGAAAGGUCCUGGUCUGACAGCCCUGGAAAAUGAGCCCCGUGUAAGCCCUCAGAGAGGCAAAAGAUGCAAGCUACAGGCUGUUCUUCUCAUCCGGUUUCAAUGAUGGAAGAGGAAAUAGAGUUUAUACAAAACCUGCCCAGCCCCCCAGAAACAUCUUGCUUUGUUUAUGUUUCAAGCUAAGCCUGCAACUCUUGCUGUUUGGAAGAGCUAUUCAGGCAUUUCUCCAUCUGACUGACUUUACAUCUACUCCUUGAUCUCAUGGAGAAAUCUGGUUUUUAGCUCCUGCUUGUGACAUUCUGAUUUCCUCUUUCUCGCUCUGCUCUCCUGCGUUUGAAAGAUCCAUGUAUAACAUGAUUAUGCAACCAUGCAAAUGUACACAGUUCUUUCAGUUUACUGCAAACCACCCUUCAGGUCUCCCGGUAUGAAAAUAAAAUUGUCAGUGAGAGACACUGUGGAGUGUAGUGGGAAGGGUGUUUCACAGGGCUGGGCUUAAAGGUCUGAAGGCAGUAUUAGAGAUGGAAGCAGACUAUUUGCAGUAAACCAGUGUGCCAGUAUGUAUCCACAGGAACCAGCAGCAGUUAAUAGGCUCAGACAGUUCAGCUCUGAAUCCUCUCCACCUAGGAGAUGGCAGAUACGUGCCUGCCUGGCAGUUUCCUCGGUUGGAGGUCUUUCCCCCACCCCAGAGCUGCAGGGACAUUAGCAGAGUGGCUCUCCCCGGAGGCCAGUUUGCACCCUCCCUCUGUAAACACAUGGUGGCUGCUUCGCUCUGUACCCACCCUGGGAUGUAGUCAGCUUCGUGCCUGGUGUUUGGGGCAAGUGUUCCAGCACCUAGCCCAGGGCGGUUCUUGCCCUGUGGGAUCAGCUGGCCUCUUAUGUUACUUGUGUUGCCUGGAGGAAGUCAUGGAAAUGUGAUCCUUCGGGGGCUGCCUUUACCCAACCUAAUCACAGGGAUAAUGUGUAAUACGCUGAUGUAUGAUAAAAGCUCUAAACUGGGGGGCGAUAGCAGAAUAUAACAUGUUCUUGCUUUUCUUCCAUUCCGUUCAGUUUCCACUACCUUCAGGGUUUAAAAAAAAAAAUACAGCACAACCACUUCCUGUGGUUGGUUGAUUCAGGAUAGCUUGGCCACCCCCUUGUUAUGCCUGUAGAUGAAGACGCUCCUCUCCACUGCUGCAGGAGCCAGAGCUGUUCAGAUGUUGUGGCCUUUGCCGUGUCCAUGGGACAAACUUAUGGAUUGCCCUUGUUCUGCCCAUGCUGUGAGCAGAGGUUCGGGGCAGAUUCACAUUUGCCGCUGAUAUGGGCUGCGAGCUGGUGUCCAUCUGAUAGCGAUAGAACAAG